AGAGUUUGAUCCUGGCUCAGGAUGAACGCUAGUAGUAUGCUUAACACAUGCGAGUCUGACGUAAUUUUAAUUACGUGGCGUACGGGUGAGGAACACGUAAAAUGCUACCUUUUAGUACAGCACAAAAAGUUUUAAGGAACUUAAAUACUGUAUAUUUAUAAAAAACAAUGAAAAUUUUGUUGUUUGCUGAAAGAUGGGUUUACGUAAGAUUAGGUAGUUGGUAAUUUUAAUAGUUUACCAAGCCAACGAUCUUUAGUUGAUCUUAGAGGAUGAUCAACCACACUGGAACUGAAACAAGGUCCAGGCUAAUAUAACAGCCAGCAGUGAGGAAUAUUGGACAAUGAACGAAAGUUUGAUCCAGCAAUACUACAUGAACGAUGACGGCUUUUUUACUUAAGUUGUAAAGUUCUUUCGUCAAGAAAUGAUAAUGACAUUACUUGAAAAGAGUUAAGUCCCGGCUAAUACUCGUGCCAGCAGCCGCGGUAAUACGGGAGGGGCAAGCGUUAUCCGGCAUGACUGGGCGUAAAGUGUUCGUAGACGGUAAAAUAAGUUAUUUGUUAAAAAUUGAAGCCUAACUUUAAGAGAGCUUAUAAUACUAUUUUACUUGAGUUUUAUACAGAAGAGUAGAAUUUUACAUGGAAGGAUGAAAUCUACAGAUAUGUAAAGGAAUACCAAUAGCGAAGGCAACUCUUUAGUAAAACUGACGUUGAGGGACGAAAGUAUGGGGAGCAAACAGGAUUAGAUACCCUAGUAGUCC
rnacentral:rRNA from 1 species